CGGAAGGAAAGGGAUGGAGGGGGAACCUGUGGAUUAAAAGGCACUGAAAAGACAUUUUCUUCUGGAAUCGAAGACAACUACAGUGCCUGGAGAUUCCUAGUUGGGCGACACACUGGACGGAAACGCAGGACACUGAUUACUCCAGAAGCCACAGUGGUGGUAGCUUUGCAGGGGUGACUGGAAUACGGCUGGGGAGGGGCUUCUGGGGUAGCUGGCGGCGCGCUGUCCGGGUGGGGGUGAUAAUGAUGCUCGCCUCCGAGCUGGGUUUCUCAGACUCAGCACUGCUGACGUUCACAUCAGAUAACCCUUGGUCGUGGGGGCUGCCCUGUGCGCUCUGGGAUGUUUUUCAGCGUCUCUGACCUCCACCCACUGGAUGCCAAGAACCGCCCUCCCCCACUCCAUGAUGACAACCCCACAUGUCUCCAGAUGCUGCCAGAAGUCCCCCCAGGGGCAAAUUCACCCCGAUUGAGAGCAGCCCUUCAGUAACUCCUUAAGCUUCCCUUUUGUUUUAUGUGGGUUCUUGGAUCUGGCUCUCUGUGUGUCUGUGUGUGUGUGCAUUUUAUUUUGCCAUAAAAAUAUUUUUAAAACGCCAAGGGAGUGUUCAUGGGGGAAACUCUCCAGAAUUCUGCAGUUUAUCUGGAAGAAAACAAGACAACGGGAAUAGCCCAGGAAUUUUGUAAAAAGCGGAGUCUCAGAUAUUAAAGUCGAUUCUAAAGCUACAGUCAUGAAAACAGGUACUGAGAUGAACACAGACAGGUGAGUCUCCAGAAUACAAUAGCCCGCCUCUGGGUGGGUCCCGUUUUAGCAGAGAAGAUCUGAGCUGCUUCUGUUGUCCUUCUGCCUUUCCUUCCAGCCCCCUCCCACCACCACACUGACCUCACCCCAGCUCCCCAAGAUGGAGCUUCCCACUUCUCCUCCUUUGCACGUGCGGUUUCUCCUGUCUGGAGCACCUUUCCCUAAAUGUCACCCUGCAGGCACCCUUCCCAGCCCCUCCUGCUCAGAGAUGUCCCCUUCCUUCCUCCUCCUGUAGACACCAGCUCCCACCCCUGUCACCCCCUUACUGUGAACCUUAGCUUGAAAGUCUGUCUCCUCCUCUCAGCUUUGCAGACCAGGAUGGUAGGAACUGUGUCCCCUUGGGGACCUGCACGGUGCCUGGCAUACAGCAGGUAGUGAAAGUAGCUGUUAGGUUCACAAAACAGAGGGACGGGAAAAACAGUGACGGGAGAGGGGCCAUGUUAGGCCUUUAGCAGGGCGGGAACACACAGUUUGAGCCCCUAAAGGUAGGAGAAGGUGGCCGCGCAUCCACGUGCAGGAAAAAGAGGUUCGGCAAGGUGGAACAGCAUGUGCAAAGACCCGGCAGUGGGAAAGAUCCAGGGUCCCGGUACCUUCCCCAGACACUGGGACAUGAGCAUCAGUCCUUCCAGCUUCCGGGAAACUCGAGGGAUCUUCCAGAUACACAAAUCCCACCGGGUCACUGUCCUCUUCAGUCUUCCCAUGGCUCUCUGGUGCCCUGGGAAUCAAAUCCAAGCUCCUUAGCCG
rnacentral:lncRNA from 1 species